rnacentral:lncRNA from 1 species
CCCUGGGCUCGCGGAGCUUCCAUGGCGGCUGCGCGGCGGCAGAGAGGGGGCCGUGCCGCUUUUACUGCCGCUGCGCGCUUGAGGCGCGCGCUCCCUAGUACCCUUUUUGCGGCUCCUCUUUCUGGUCGAGUUUUGCCGGGGCGUGUGGGGAACCUACGUUCUUUG